rnacentral:rRNA from 1 species
GUCUUUUUGUUAAUAAAUUUAAAGUCUAGCCUGCCCCCUGAAGUUUUAAAUGGCCGCAGUAUUUUGACUGUGCUAAGGUAGCAUAAUCAUUAGUUUUUUAAUUGAAAGCUGGAAUGAAGGGUUGGAUGAAAAAUUGACUGUCUCUUUAUAAUUUAAUUAGAAUUUUAUUUUUAAGUUAAAAAGCUUAAAUAUUUUUAAAAGACGAGAAGACCCUAUAGAGUUUAAUAGAUUAUUAGAAAUUAAUUUUUUAGUGAUUUAUAAAUUAAUUGUUAAUUAUAUUUAAUUGGGGUGAUUUAAAAAUUUAAAUAACUUUUUUUAUAUUAUUAUAUUUAUAAAUAAAUAAUUGAUCCAAUUUUUUUGAUUAUAAGAUAAAAUUACCUUAGGGAUAACAGCGUAAUUUUAUUAGAGAGUUCUAAUCGAAAAUAAAGUUUGCGACCUCGAUGUUGGAUUAAAAUUUGAAUUUGGUGUAGAAGCUAAAAUUCUAAGUCUGUUCGACUUUUAAAAUUUUACA